AACGAACGCUGGCGGCAGGCCUAACACAUGCAAGUCGAACGCCGUAGCAAUACGGAGUGGCAGACGGGUGAGUAACACGUGGGAACGUACCUUUCGGUUCGGAAUAACUCAGGGAAACUUGAGCUAAUACCGGAUACGUGCGAGAGCAGAAAGAUUUAUCGCCGAAAGAUCGGCCCGCGUCCGAUUAGCUUGUUGGUGAGGUAACGGCUCACCAAGGCGACGAUCGGUAGCUGGUCUGAGAGGAUGAUCAGCCACACUGGGACUGAGACACGGCCCAGACUCCUACGGGAGGCAGCAGUGGGGAAUAUUGGACAAUGGGCGCAAGCCUGAUCCAGCCAUGCCGCGUGAGUGAUGACGGCCUUAGGGUUGUAAAGCUCUUUCGCCAGGGACGAUAAUGACGGUACCUGGAUAAGAAGCCCCGGCUAACUUCGUGCCAGCAGCCG
rnacentral:rRNA from 1 species